UCCAGUCACUCAGGUCCAGUGGAUCUCAACUACGGUGCUCUACCCCCAAGGGACAAUUGGCAAUGUCAGGAGACAUUUUUUGGUUGUCACAACUGGAGGGAGGGUGCACUGGGCUU